rnacentral:rRNA from 1 species
GACGAACGCUGGCGGCGUGCCUAAUACAUGCGAGUCGAACGCUGAAGGAGGAGCUUGCUCUUCUGGAUGAGUUGCGAACGGGUGAGUAACGCGUAGGUAACCUGCCUGGUAGCGGGGGAUAACUAUUGGAAACGAUAGCUAAUACCGCAUAAAAUUGAUUAUUGCAUGAUAGUCAAUUAAAAGGUGCAAUUGCAUCACUACCAGAUGGACCUGCGUUGUAUUAGCUAGUUGGUGUGGUAACGGCUCACCAAGGCAACGAUACAUAGCCGACCUGAGAGGGUGAUCGGCCACACUGGGACUGAGACACGGCCCAGACGCCUACGGGAGGCAGCAGGAGGGAAUCUUCGGCAAGGGACGGAAGUCUGACCGAGCAACGCCGCGUGAGUGAAGAAGGGUGUCGGAUCGUAAAGCUCGGUUGUAAGAGAAGAACGAGUGUGAGAGUGGAAAGUUCACACUGUGACGGUAUCUUACCAGAAAGGGACGGCUAACUACGUG